GGGGAUAUAGCUCAGCUGGUAGAGCGAUACGUUCGCAUCGUAUAGGUCGUGGGUUCGAGUCCCGUUAUCUCCACCA
rnacentral:tRNA from 1 species